CCUUCGAUAGCUCAGUUGGUAGAGCGGUGGACUGUAGCUUGUAGAAGAUUGAAAUCCAUAGGUCGCUGGUUCAAAUCCGGCUCGAAGGA
rnacentral:tRNA from 1 species